CCUGCAGGUUCACCACCACCACCACCACCAAAGGAUGUCUCCUCAGCUAGUGGUGAACCUUGGCAUCAACCUCUGAUGUAUCCAGCCCCAUCACAAGCCCCACAAAAAGAAAAGUGUCACCACCUGGACGCACACUGUUUCUCCUGUGUCUCUUCCUCCUUCUCCUGUUCCUGUAUCAAGCUUCUUCCAUUCUGCCUCCACUGCUACAGCUGAACCCCCUCUGCUCCUCUCACCUUGCCAUUGCCUAAAACUGUGGGGAUCGUACCUGUUUCAGAUGCUGCCUGGCUGCCCACAAAGCUGCUAAAGACAUUUCAGCAGCCCUGUGGAAAGACCAGCGUCUUUUCAAAGACCUGAAACUGUGGUAUGAUCCACCAGAGUCCUCCCUCAUAUACCAUCAGGUCCUCACUCCUGAGCGCUUCUUCCACCAUGACUUUUCUCAUGGAAAAAACAUGGUGUGACAUUCUUUGUCAAUAUGUAUAUAAUGUAAAUAGUUUUAAAAGAAAAAAGUCUUAAUUUGCUGCUGUUCUAUUUUGUUUUUUAACUUUAACACACGUGUUUGUGAGUGUGUGUGUGAAAUUUGUAAUAAAUUUGUUACAUUUCAGUGACUGUCUUCAUUUUUUACUGCAAAAAUGCAAACUCACUCAUAGAAAACGAUAACAUUGUUGCAGUACUUCAUUCAGAAAUAUAAAAAUGACUAUAAAAGUACAUUUAGGUACAUGUGAUAACACUUGGUAGUAGUCUGUGUUAAAGGCCUCAUGUUCCAACGGUGGAAUCGAACCGGCGACCUUUGGGUCAAGAGCCUCCUAUGCUUUUCUGCAGUUAAGUGUCAUAUUUGGUUAAAUUUCUCAAAUUAAUAGACCAGAAUAUGUGUGAUUUUACUUGUGAUGGACAGUAGAGACACUAAUAACUACAGGCUCCUUCCAUU